rnacentral:rRNA from 1 species
AUUGAACGCUGGCGGCAGGCCUAACACAUGCAAGUCGAGCGGAGCGGCGGACGGGUGAGUAAUGCCUAGGGAUCUGCCUGGGAGUGGGGGAUAACGUCCGGAAACGGGCGCUAAUACCGCAUACUAGCAGAUGAGCCCAGGGCGGAUUAGCUAGUUGGGGGGGUAAAGGCCUACCAAGGCGACGAUCCGUAACUGGUCUGAGAGGAUGAUCAGUGAAGCUGGAGCUGAGAAACGGUCGAGACUCCUACGGGAGGCAGCAGGGGGGAAUAUUGGACAAUGGGCGAAAGCCUGAUCCAGCCAUGCCGCGUGUGUGAAGAAGGUCUUCGGAUUGUAAAGCACUUUAAGUUGGGAGGCGUUACCAACAGAAUAAGCACCGGCUAACUUCGUGCCAGCAGCCGCGGUAAUAC